UGCAAGCGUUAAUCGGAAUUACUGGGCGUAAAGCGUGCGUAGGUGGUUUCUUAAGUCUGCUGUGAAAGCCCUGGGCUCAACCUGGGAAUGGCGGUGGAUACUGAGGAGCUAGAGUGCGGUAGAGGAGGGUGGAAUUCCCGGUGUAGCGGUGAAAUGCGUAGAGAUCGGGAGGAACAUCAGUGGCGAAGGCGGCCCUCUGGACCAGCACUGACGCUGAGGCACGAAAGCGUGGGGAGCAAACAGG
rnacentral:rRNA from 1 species